rnacentral:rRNA from 1 species
GUGUGAAACUCAAAGGAAUUGACGGGGGCCCGCACAAGCGGUGGAGUAUGUGGUUUAAUUCGAUGCAACGCGAAGAACCUUACCAGGAUUUGACAUCCUGCGAACCUCUUAGAAAUUCGAGGGUGCCUUCGGGAACGCAGUGACAGGUGGUGCAUGGCUGUCGUCAGCUCGUGUCGUGAGAUGUUGGGUUAAGUCCCGCAACGAGCGCAACCCACGUUUUUAGUUGCCAGCAUUUAGUUGGGCACUCUAGAAAGACCGCCGGUGAUAAACCGGAGGAAGGUGUGGAUGACGUCAAGUCAUCAUGCCCCUUACAUCCUGGGCUACACACGUACUACAAUGCUACGGACAAAGGGCAGCAAACUCGCGAGGGCAAGCAAAUCCCAUAAACCGUGGCUCAGUUCAGAUCGUAGGCUGCAACUCGCCUACGUGAAGCAGGAAUCGCUAGUAAUCGCAGGUCAGCAUACUGCGGUGAAUACGUUCCCGGGCCUUGUACACACCGCCCGUCACACCAUGGAAGUUGGCCACGCCCGAAGUCGUCACUCCAACCCUUGUGGAGGAGGACGCCGAAGGUGGGGCUGAUGACUGGGGUGAAGUCGUAACAAGGUA